GCGCAUGUCCGUUCUGUUGGUUCCUGUUCUUAGAGCAGGUGAAAAGGGAAUGCGAUAAGGAUUGCGACGCAAUUUGAAACGCAGCCGCCCCCGCGACCGUGACCGGAGAGGUCUUUGAAGCCACUGGCGCAUGCGCCGGGAAGGCCAAAGUCCGCCAAAGCGACCCGCUUUGACAUCCGUAAGCCGGGAGACCUGCCAGCAAAGAAAGACAUGA
rnacentral:ncRNA from 2 species